rnacentral:sRNA from 1 species
CACACAGCCUCAAUCCACGGGUGGGGAGCAAAGCCACCACCCCCCACCCAGCCCCCCUGGGUGCAGAAUGAGCCCUGGGAAAGCUCUGAUGGGUGCCUGUGGCCCCAGGAAGGAACAUGGCUCUCUAGCCAGGGGCCAAAGGCACCUGCCCCAACCCCUAGCCUCCAGCGACCAGCUGACGAGGACCUGAAGUGAGCGACGAGGCCCCCACAGGAGCCAGAGAAGGGUGGAAAAGCCAGCUUGUCAGGCACAACUGGGACAGCCACUGCCUGGGACCCUGGGACCCUGAGGCAGAGCCGCAGGUCCAGCCUGGGCCGAUGGUGGGUGGGGGCAAGGCAGGAGUGCACGCCUCUGACUUCCUUCUAGUUCCGACGAGUACCAGGCUGCCCGAGCCACCCUGGUCAGAGCGUUCCAGGCGAAGUUUGACACAUUUGUAGUUCCCUGUGUUGUUGCCAGUGGCGACAUCAAAGACAGGAAGGGGUCAGAACCCCUGAGCUUCAGCCCCCACAACACCCUGUACCUGGAGCUGUGGUGCCCGACGGUGGCACCAUCUGUUGUGGUGACAUCCCAUAAAGGCAAGACCAUCUUUAACUUCGGCGACGUCGCUGUGGGGCACCGCAGUAUCAAGAAGGUCUCCAUCCAGAACGUCUCUCUCGAGGAUCUGACCCUGGACUUCUCCCUGCUGAACCCCAACGGCCCCUUUGUCCUGCUGAACCACUCCAGCCUGCUGCGUGCGGGUGAGACCCAGGUCCUGGUGCUGUCCUUCUCUCCCCACGAGAGCAUCCUGGCUCAAGAAACACUGGACAUCAUCACCAAGAGAGGCACACUCACCCUCACCCUCGUGGGCACUGGCGUGGCGUCCAUGAUCACGUGCUCCAUUGAAGGCAGCGUCCUCAACAUGGGCUAUGUGAUUGCCGGAGAGUCUGUGUCCUCAGGCUUCAAGCUGCAGAACAACUCUCUGCUCCCCAUCAAGUUCUCCAUGCACCUGGAGAGCCUCUCCAGCACCCGGGGCCGGGGCCAGCAGCAGCUGCCGCAGUUCCUCAGCUCGCCCUCCCAGAGGACGGAGGUGGUCGGGACGCAGAAUCUCAAUGGUCAGAGCGUGUUCAGCGUGGCCCCGGUCAAGGGCGUUAUGGACCCCGGGAAGACGCAGGACUUCACUGUCACCUUCAGCCCCGACCACGAGAGCCUCUACUUCUCCGACAGGCUCCAGGUGGUGCUCUUUGAAAAGAAAAUCUCCCACCAGAUCCUGCUGAAGGGUGCCGCCUGUGAGCACAUGAUGUUUGUGGAGGGAGGCGACCCCCUGGACGUGCCCGUGGAGUCUCUGACAGCGAUCCCUGUAUUUGACCCCAGGCACAGAGAGGCCAGCUCCCGGCCAGGCCCUCCCUCUCCAGAAGCUGAGGAGCUGAGGCCCAUCCUGGUGACCCUAGACUACAUCCAGUUUGACACAGACACGCCAGCCCCACCUGCCACCCGAGAGCUGCAGGUGGGCUGUAUCCGGACCACCCAGCCAUCUCCAAAGAAGACUGUUGAGUUCAGCAUGGAUAGCGUCGCAUCCCUGCAGCACAAGGGUUUCUCCAUUGAGCCCUCCAGGGGCUCCGUGGAGCGCGGCCAGACGAAGACCAUCAGCAUCUCCUGGGUGCCACCUGCGGACUUUGAUCCAGACCACCCACUCAUGGUGUCGGCCCUGCUGCAGCUAAGGGGGGAUGUGAAGGAGACCUACAAGGUCAUCUUUGUAGCCCAGGUGGUGACCGGCCCCUAAGCCUCUGCACAGAGCACCCUCGGGCCCUCCUGUCCACCCUCAAAGCCCUCCCCAGGCUGAGGGCCAGGUCAUACUACCCUAGAGCCUGGGACCCGGCCAUCCUCUGCCAGACAGAUUCCAGUAGGCCGCCCUCCACAUGGUGCCACGGCCACUUCCUGCUGCCCUGGACCCCGCAAGCCCAGGGACAUCCAAGAGCACCCCUCCUGAG